AACGAACGCUGGCGGUAUGCUUAACACAUGCAAGUCGAGCGAUAACCAGGGGCUUGCUCCUGGGGACAGCGGCGCACGGGUGAGUAACGCGUGGAUAACGUACCCUAAAGUUGGGAAUAACUCACCGAAAGGUGGGCUAAUGCCGAAUAAGCUCUUUUAAAGUUCGCUUUUUAAGAGGAAAGCAGUAAUGCGCUUUUGGAUCGGUCCGCGUUCCAUCAGCUUGUUGGUGGGGUAAUGGCCUACCAAGGCUACGACGGAUAGCUGGUCUGAGAGGAUGAUCAGCCACACUGGAACUGAGACACGGUCCAGACUCCUACGGGAGGCAGCAGUGGGGAAUAUUGGUCAAUGGGCGAAAGCCUGAACCAGCAAUACCGCGUGAGUGAUGAAGGCCUUCGGUUGUAAGACUCUUUUGUUAGGGUACGAUAAUGACGGUACCUAACGAAUAAGCCCGGCGUAACUUCGUGCCAGCAGCCGCGGUA
rnacentral:rRNA from 1 species